rnacentral:rRNA from 1 species
UACAGAGGGUGCGAGCGUUGUUCGGAAUUAUUGGGCGUAAAGCGCUUGUAGGCGGCACGUCAAGUCGCGUGUGAAAUCCCCAGGCUUAACCUGGGAAGUGCGCGCGAAACUGACGAGCUUGAGUGCCGGAGAGGGUCGCGGAAUUCCCGGUGUAGAGGUGAAAUUCGUAGAUAUCGGGAGGAACACCAGUGGCGAAGGCGGCGACCUGGACGGACACUGAACGCUGGAGACGCGAAAGCGUGGGGAGCAACAGGAUUAAGAUA